AGCGAACGCUGGCGGCAGGCCUAACACAUGCAAGUCGAACGGACCCUUCGGGGUUAGUGGCGGACGGGUGAGUAACACGUGGGAACGUGCCUUUAGGUUCGGAAUAGCUCCUGGAAACGGGUGGUAAUGCCGAAUGUGCCCUUCGGGGGAAAGAUUUAUCGCCUUUAGAGCGGCCCGCGUCUGAUUAGUUAGUUGGUGAGGUAACGGCUCACCAAGGCGACGAUAAGUAGCUGGUUUGAGAGGAUGACCAGCCACACUGGGACUGAGACACGGCCCAGACUCCUACGGGAGGCAGCAGUGGGGAAUCUUGCGCAAUGGGCGAAAGCCUGACGCAGCCAUGCCGCGUGAAUGAUGAAGGUCUUAGGAUUGUAAAAUUCUUUCACCGGGGACGAUAAUGACGGUACCCGGAGAAGAAGCCCCGGCUAACUUCGUG
rnacentral:rRNA from 1 species